AUGAGACACAGAGGAGGGCACUAACUGACGACAAGACGACAAUGUUCGACUGGUGUAAGGAGGGAAUGAAAAGAAAUUACGAUCUCUACUCUCUGACACCAAUGUCAAUCAAACUGACCAAGAGGGGAUGGGUCUUCUUCACUGGGCCUGUGACCGUGGCAACCUGAACACGGUGAAACUACUUGUGAAGAGGGGAGCAGAUGUUAAUAUUGAGGACACAGACAAUCAGACACCCUCUUCAUUAUGCUGUGUCAUGUGAUCAUCAUGCUGUCAUCUCUUAUCUACUACAAGUGGGAUUCCUAUCUCAAGAUGUGAUUGAGAAUCAAGCACCUAUAUAAUUAUAUAGCCUCGAUUCCAGGCCGCACCUUUAGACAAACAAUUCAAUCUAGUUUCAGGUUAUUAAUUUUGCACAUUUCUCAUUAUUGACCAAUUAACUUUCAAGUUUUACAUGAUCAGAAUGUAACUUGGUGAAAUACAUGAGAAACCGUAUAUAGAAAAAAAUUUAAU